CCCGGUGCGAUGCAUUUGGAGCAUUGAGCUUUGAUCGUAAGUCAUAACGACUCUCGGCAACGGAUAUCUCGGCUCUCGAAUCGAUGAAGAACGUAGCGAAAUGCGAUACGUGGUGUGAAUUGCAGGAUCCCGUGAACCAUCGAGUUUUUGAACGCAAGUUGCGCCCGAAGCCGUCAGGCCAAGGGCACGUCUGCCUGGGCGUCACGCA
rnacentral:rRNA from 1 species